rnacentral:lncRNA from 1 species
GAAAUGCACGCGCUGCAUUGUUACCUUGGGGUUAAAAUGGAAUUAAAAAAAUGGGGUUAUGUUAUAAAUAGACUUCUAUUUAAGGUGAAUGUCUAUAAUUAGAGAGAUUCUAGAGUUUUAUUCUUGGUAGCUAAGUCACUACCUCCCUAUAAAUAAAGGGGUCUUCUACCAUUGUAAAACAUCCCUAUCAAUCCCAAGUAUCAAUAAGAAUACU